CGCGCCCACCACCGCCCCCCGACGGCCAGGCUGGGCUCCAGAGAAAGCUUCAGACCGAGUCCUUGCCCUCCAGCCUGUCGCAGGCUGCACAGUGGGGCGCCUCCUCCUCUCGCUUUUGGACUCCAGCCAGGCAGAUUGGGGCUUCAGCCUUGUUCUCCACUACAGCAGAGAACAGCCUGAGGGCUACUGUUGGGCUCCUGGAGUCUCCCACCUGACUGCCAGAGUCCCCACUGCCUCUCCAUGAUCUCACAAGGCAGCAGUGUAAAAGGCUGCCAUGCUUUAAUACCCCCCAGCCUGGAGAGGGGGUCCCAUAUCCCUGACCACCCCUCUUUAGUAUGCCUACUUAGCAAAAUGUGGCUUCUUUCUCACUUUCUCUAUUGUAAUUUGACUCCCAGUACAGAGCAGGAGUUAGGACCCUCCAGGACUUGUGGGAGUCCUUUUGAAAGAAUGGCCCCCACGAACUCAAUUACACAGUGACUGGAGACACCUGUGGUCCUCAGGCAGCGGGCCUCUCCUUUUCUCUGCCUUUGCUCUCCGCGCCUUAGAAGUACCCUAUGGACCUCUGUGUUUGGCAUCGCAGAUCUCCCCAGAACCCUUUCAGUCAGACAGGGAUGGCACAGAAGUUGGAGCAAGGAAUGAGAAUCAUCCUCUGUGGGCAAGGUUGGCUUGGGAAUCACUCAUCCCAUGCCGCUUGACACUCUCGGGGACCAAAUGCACGAAGCAUGACAGACCUAGCUAGAUCCUCGUGGACAGGCUGGGCAGGCAUUUCGUGGUUGUGACCUCAACCUUUGUUCUUUCUAGAUGACAGGACUAACCACUGACCUUCAAAAGACUGCUUCUAGAAGGUUCCUAUUUUCCUGUCCUUCCAUCCAAAGAACCCACAAGCCAUUUUUCUCCCCCAAAUCAUUUUCUAAGGAGUCCAAAACACAACACCGCCUCAAGAGCUAUUCCACAUUCUCUGUCAGCCCGGAACUGCCUUAGACCUUUGCAUGUUCCCUGACAGCAGCCUGCCUACCUGAGUUGCAAGCCAGCCAGCAUGAACAGGUCCAGUUGGAUUAGUUCAGUCAAUAAGGGUGUUGUCAUACUCCUCCCAAUGUCCACAGAGUCCACAAUGAUUAAAUAAAGGCAAGCCAGGAAGCACACCAAGGACAGAGGUGGACACGUGCCAGCCAACACAGGAAUACAGGGCCUGUAUCUGUUCAUCUCAAGCAUCCAGUGGCUGUUUGUGAGGCGCUUGGUAACACGCCUCUGGGAGCACCGGGGCCAAUCAACACAGAGAGAAAGUGAAUGACAUUAUGCUCAACCAAUGACAUUUUCCUCAGUAUCAGGAAGAGAUGACCUAGAAUGCUUGUAACAGGGAUGAACAUAAGAGGUACUCAGCAUAUUUAUGAAACUCAAGAGCAUAAAAGUAUCUCCGUGUAACAAGAACUCUGAAUUUAGGGAUCUACUAAGAAAUAUUAGGAUUUGAAAGCUGACAGCAAUUCCCCAUGCUUUAUUGAUUUCAUGCUAUACACAUUCUAAGAAACUCAUGGUAGAGCAAACUUAGGAUCUAAACGUUUUACUAUAUGUAAUUAUAUCUCAACAGAAAUCAUAAAAUGCAAGCUCUUCUUACCCCCCACGACACUUAUGAAUAUUUUGUUGCUUUAUUAAAUGAGGCAUUCAAUCAAAUAUGCAUUUUGACUGCAUCAUGAAUAUGAAACGUGCUGAUUACCAAUUCAUAUUCAUUUGGAAGCCCACAGGCAGACACCAAAUCACCUUGUGUGACAGGAAGAUGGACUUACCCAACCCUCGCGUCUUCAAUCUCUCAUCUAUUAACACGGCAGGUUCUUCUUGUGCAUCCUGGGAUGAUUUGGAAGCAACUACGCAGCCCACAUUGACCUCAAGCUUUUUCUCCUCUUCCUCUGCCUCACAAAUGCUGGGAUUAUAGGUGUGUGCUCCCAUGCUCAGCUAAAGCAAUUAAUUAAAAGCCAAUGUUGUUAACAAUGUUAAAUGACUGUAAAUCAUUCUAGAUGUUUGACUCAUUUUCUGGAACUAUCUGGUGGUUUAGAAUUAACUGCUUGGGGUUGGCAUCAGUUUCUGAAACUCGUUUUAAGCAGAGUUAUAGACUUCACCUUAGAAAAGAAUCAGAUGAGGAAAGGACCAGCUAUAUUUUCUUAAAAUGAAGACAUUAAAGGAGCAAAACUUGAUACCCAUAUGAAUGGAUUCUAAUGUUUAAAGACAAUUUUAAAAAAACAAAACAAAACAAAACCCUGUGCAUCCAACAUGAGUCUGAAUAUGAACAGGCAUAAUCACCAGCUGUAAUCAGGACAGACAGGUAUGAGAAGACAUACAGACAGAGCCAUGGGAUAGCACACAGCCCAGGGGUAAGCACACAUAAAUCUAGUCACUUAUGUGUGACAAAAGAGUAAAGGUGAUCCCAUGGGAAACACACUGUUAUCAACAAUUAGACUAGACACAAUUUUCAAAGGAGAAUAGAGACUUUUCUGGAUGCCUUUCACAACUGACUUGGAUGUAAGACAAAAGGCUGUAGAGAUCCCUUAGAGCUAGUAUACACAAAGAUGUAUACUAUAUAUGAAUACUAUGUAUAUGCAUUUAUAUAUGUAUUUACAUACAUAUAUAAAUAUUAUAUAUGUAGAUGGCCUUGGAAUUCAGAUUCCUUUCUUUUCUGUUGGUGUGGCUGUCAUACCCAAAAGUGCCUUAUGGAGGCAACAGUUUACUUGGGUUAAUGGCUCCAGAGGGAGUCUCUUUAAUGGCAGCAAGCAGGCAUGACAGCCAGAGCAAGAAGCUGAAAGAUCAGGUCUUCAAACACAAACACAAGGCAGAAGGUGAACUGGAGGUUAGCCGAAGCUAUAAAAUCUCAAAGUGCCCACAGCGAGUGUCUUUCAGCAAGGCCAUGGCCUCCUCCCCAAACAACACCAUCAACUGGAUACCACAUUUAAACUACAGGACUCAUUCAAACCAUCACAGUUUUGUAAGGGCAUUUUAGAUAAAGCAGCAAAGGCACCAUCAAAGAAAGGAUUGAUAAAUGAUGUUCAAUAAAACUUAAAAA
rnacentral:lncRNA from 1 species